CAAAGUCUGGUUCUGUACUGGGCAGGAUGUAGCCAGGACUCAAAAACUCCAUGAGCAUACUCACAUCCAUCCCCCUUGGGGCAUGCCCCCUUACGGAACUCAGGGCAGGGGACACAGGUGUAAGGAUACUUCCUAGGAUCUCUCCUCCUAGCAUUCUCACCCGGAUGAACAAAUGGGCACUCUGUCCAAUCAUGUGAAUAAGCCCUCGAGCAUGGCUUUAUCUUAAAAGCGUACAUUCUAAAAUCAUCAGUUCCAUAAACUCCAUUGUUUAUAUCAGGCAAUGAUACAUCAAUUGGGUACUCUUUCUUCUCAGUUCCAUCUUUUGAUAACUGAGGCACAGGAAUAUUCACCAAUUCUUCUUCUUCAAAAAUAGUAUGAUCGCCUUUCAACAAUAACUCUAUUGCCCUUUUUCUUGAAUGGAGUGGUGAUUUCAUAGCAACUGGAAUGAGAUCAACUGGCUUAUUCCCAUACACAUCAACACAGUUAACAUCAGCAGAUGCACUGAGUAAGAGCUUGACCACCUCAAAGGAAGAGUUGGCACCACCAGCAACAGCACAGUGAAGGGCAGUGAAACCAUCAGAACCACAGGCCCUAUUCACAU
rnacentral:lncRNA from 1 species